rfam:Megaselia scalaris, Durham, NC isolate 2 -- Noor lab, WGS project CAQQ02000000 data, contig: ctg0000203097
UACUCUAAGCAGUGGAUCACUUGGCUCAUGGGUCGAUGAAGAACGCAGCAAACUGCGUGUCAUCAUGUGAACUGCAGGACACAUGAACAUCGACAUUUUGAACGCAUAUUGCAGUCCAUGCUAUUUGUACAUUAAUUUUUCUAAAGUUAUUGUACUGCUUGGACUACACAUGGUUGAGGGUUG